rnacentral:rRNA from 1 species
UACGUAGGUGGCAAGCGUUGUCCGGAUUUAUUGGGCGUAAAGCGAGUGCAGGCGGUUCAAUAAGUCUGAUGUGAAAGCCUUCGGCUCAACCGGAGAAUUGCAUCAGAAACUGUUGAACUUGAGUGCAGAAGAGGAGAGUGGAACUCCAUGUGUAGCGGUGGAAUGCGUAGAUAUAUGGAAGAACGCCAGUGGCGAAGGCGGCUCUCUGGUCUGCAACUGACGCUGAGGCUCGAAAGCAUGGGUAGCGAACAGGAUUAGAUACCCU